rnacentral:rRNA from 1 species
CCAAAAUAUAUGUUAAGUGGAAAAGGAUGUGGCGUUGCCCAGACAACUAGGAUGUUGGCUUAGAAGCAGCCAUCAUUUAAAGAGUGCGUAAUAGCUCACUAGUCGAGUGACACUGCGCCGAAAAUGUACCGGGGCUAAACAUAUUACCGAAGCUGUGGAUUGUCCUUUGGACAAUGGUAGGAGAGCGUUCUAAGGGCGUUGAAGCAUGAUCGUAAGGACAUGUGGAGCGCUUAGAAGUGAGAAUGCCGGUGUGAGUAGCGAAAGACGGGUGAGAAUCCCGUCCACCGAUUGACUAAGGUUUCCAGAGGAAGGCUCGUCCGCUCUGGGUUAGUCGGGUCCUAAGCUGAGGCCGACAGGCGUAGGCGAUGGAUAACAGGUUGAUAUUCCUGUACCACCUAUAAUCGUUUUAAUCGAUGGGGGGACGCAGUAGGAUAGGCGAAGCGUGCGAUUGGAUUGCACGUCUAAGCAGUAAGGCUGAGUAUUAGGCAAAUCCGGUACUCGUUAAGGCUGAGCUGUGAUGGGGAGAAGACAUUGNNNNNNNNNNNNNNNNNNNNNNNNNNGUCUUCGAGUCGUUGAUUUCACACUGCCGAGAAAAGCCUCUAGAUAGAAAAUAGGUGCCCGUACCGCAAACCGACACAGGUAGUCAAGAUGAGAAUUCUAAGGUGAGCGAGCGAACUCUCGUUAAGGAACUCGGCAAAAUGACCCCGUAACUUCGGGAGAAGGGGUGCUCUUUAGGGUUAACGCCCAGAAGAGCCGCAGUGAAUAGGCCCAAGCGACUGUUUAUCAAAAACACAGGUCUCUGCUAAACCGUAAGGUGAUGUAUAGGGGCUGACGCCUGCCCGGUGCUGGAAGGUUAAGAGGAGUGGUUAGCUUCUGCGAAGCUACGAAUCGAAGCCCCAGUAAACGGCGGCCGUAACUAUAACGGUCCUAAGGUAGCGAAAUUCCUUGUCGGGUAAGUUCCGACCCGCACGAAAGGCGUAACGAUUUGGGCACUGUCUCAACGAGAGACUCGGUGAAAUCAUAGUACCUGUGAAGAUGCAGGUUACCCGCGACAGGACGGAAAGACCCCGUGGAGCUUUACUGUAGCCUGAUAUUGAAAUUCGGCACAGCUUGUACAGGAUAGGUAGGAGCCUUUGAAACGUGAGCGCUAGCUUACGUGGAGGCGCUGGUGGGAUACUACCCUAGCUGUGUUGGCUUUCUAACCCGCACCACUUAUCGUGGUGGGAGACAGUGUCAGGCGGGCAGUUUGACUGGGGCGGUCGCCUCCUAAAAGGUAACGGAGGCGCUCAAAGGUUCCCUCAGAAUGGUUGGAAAUCAUUCAUAGAGUGUAAAGGCAUAAGGGAGCUUGACUGCGAGACCUACAAGUCGAGCAGGGUCGAAAGACGGACUUAGUGAUCCGGUGGUUCCGCAUGGAAGGGCCAUCGCUCAACGGAUAAAAGCUACCCCGGGGAUAACAGGCUUAUCUCCCCCAAGAGUUCACAUCGACGGGGAGGUUUGGCACCUCGAUGUCGGCUCAUCGCAUCCUGGGGCUGUAGUCGGUCCCAAGGGUUGGGCUGUUCGCCCAUUAAAGCGGUACGCGAGCUGGGUUCAGAACGUCGUGAGACAGUUCGGUCCCUAUCCGUCGUGGGCGUAGGAAAUUUGAGAGGAGCUGUCCUUAGUACGAGAGGACCGGGAUGGACAUACCUCUGGUGUACCAGUUGUCGUGCCAACGGCAUAGCUGGGUAGCUAUGUGUGGACGGGAUAAGUGCUGAAAGCAUCUAAGCAUGAAGCCCCCCUCAAGAUGAGAUUUCCCAACUUCGGUUAUAAGAUCCCUCAAAGAUGAUGAGGUUAAUAGGUUCGAGGUGGAAG